rnacentral:sRNA from 1 species
UAAGCGAAUUGAACAGCAUGCUUGG